UUUAAGCAUAUAAGUAAGCGGAGGAAAAGGAACUAGAUAGGAUUCCCUCAGUAAUGGCGAAUGAACAGGGAUGAGCUCAGGCUGGAAACCGAUACAUCUGUGUCGGGCUGUAGCCUGCAGGCAUAGUGCUAUCGGCGGCUCGAGCGCAAGCCUCUUGGAAUAGAGCGUGUGCCCGGGUGAGAAUCCUGCAUUUCGCUCGAUGUCCGCUGUCCACAGUGCUUGUCCUGAGAGUCACGCUCCUCGGAAUUGGAGCGUAAAUCAGGUGGUAAGUUUCAUCCAAAGCUAAAUAGAAGCUCGAGACCAAUAGCAAACAAGUACCAUGAGGGAAAGAUGAAAAGGACUUUGGAAAGAGAGUUAAAAGUGUUUGAAAUUGCUGAGAGCGAAGCGAACGGAGCCACAUGUCGUGCUGAGAUUGCUGUGGGUCUUUGUGAGCCUUGAGCAUGUAAGCGCAAGCUGACUGCUUAUGUGUGAGCAUUUGCCCGCAGUGUUUCUCAGCAUGCGAGUCAUUAGCCACAUUUGUUUGAGGAUAGCCUUCAGCUCACAUGGUACACUUGUUAGUGUUCCUCUGUGCGGUGUGGGACUCAGACAGGUGUGGCUUGUUGACCCAGUGGUUUUUUUCGACCCGUCUUGAAACACGGACCAAGGAG
rnacentral:rRNA from 1 species